CAGCAGCCGCGGGAAUACAUAGGGCGCAAGCGUUGUCCGGAAUUAUUGGGCGUAAAGAGCUCGUAGGCGGUCUGUCGCGUCUGGUGUGAAAUCCCGAGGCUCAACCUCGGGCUUGCAUCGGGUACGGGCAGACUAGAGUGCGGUAGGGGAGACUGGAAUUCCUGGUGUAGCGGUGGAAUGCGCAGAUAUCAGGAGGAACACCGAUGGCGAAGGCAGGUCUCUGGGCCGCAACUGACGCUGAGGAGCGAAAGCAUGGGGAGCGAACAGGAUUAGAUACCCCUGUAGUCCCUGUCUCUUAUAC
rnacentral:rRNA from 1 species